GCCGGGCCUGCGCUUAAGUGCGCGGUCUUGCUAGGCUGUAAAGUUUCUUUCUUGCUAUUCCAAACGGUGAGAGAUUUCUGUGCUUUUGUUAUAGGACAAUUAAAACCGUUUCAAUACAACACACUGUGGAGUUUUCAUAUCUUUGCAACUUUUUCUUUGGGCAUUCGAGCAAUCGGGGCCCAGAGGUAACAAACACAAACAAUUUUAUCUAUUCAUUAAAUUUUUGUCAAAAACAAGAAUUUUCGUAACUGGAAAUUUUAAAAUAUUAAAAACUUUCAACAACGGAUCUCUUGGUUCUCGCAUCGAUGAAGAACGCAGCGAAAUGCGAUACGUAAUGUGAAUUGCAGAAUUCCGUGAAUCAUCGAAUCUUUGAACGCACAUUGCGCCCCUUGGUAUUCCAGGGGGCAUGCCUGUUUGAGCGUCAUUUCCUUCUCAAACAUUCUGUUUGGUAGUGAGUGAUACUCUUUGGAGUUAACUUGAAAUUGCUGGCCUUUUCAUUGGAUGUUUUUUUUCCAAAGAGAGGUUUCUCUGCGUGCUUGAGGUAUAAUGCAAGUACGGUCGUUUUAGGUUUUACCAACUGCGGCUAAUCUUUUUUUAUACUGAGCGUAUUGGAACGUUAUCGAUAAGAAGAGAGCGUCUAGGCGAACAAUGUUCUUAAAGUUUGACCUCAAAUCAGGUAGGAGUACCCGCUGAACUUAAGCAUAUCAAU
rnacentral:rRNA from 1 species